UUCGGUUACGUGGCCCAUAAGGAGCAUCGGUGUGGCAAGAGUUUGAUCAUGGCUCAGAUCGAACCCUUACGGCGGAUCGCCACGCCGCAAAGUCAGGCAGCGCUGGACUUUGGUCUGGUACGCUGAUGGCGAACGGGUGAGUAAUGUAUCCGGAACGUGCCUAUUAGCGGGGGAUAACUACGCGAAAGCGUAGCUAAUACAUGCGCCCUUCCAGGAAAGCGGGGGACCUUUGGGCCUCACUUUAUUAAGAGCGGCCGAUAUCGGAUUAGCUAUAGUUGGUGGGGUAACGGCUCACCGGGCGAUCCGUAGCUGCUGGUUGAAGAUUGACCAGCCACACGGGCUGGGAACUGGCCGACUCUACGGGAGGCAGCAGUGGGGAAUUUUUUGGAUAAUCGGAAGCGAUUGUAUCGCGUAUGGCCGGUGAGUGCUAAGGUUUGUAACGCCACUGGCGGAAAAGAAACGGCACGGGAUAAUACCCCGUGCAACUGACGGCACCGCACCUGCCAGAAUAAGCAUCCAGCCAACACGUGCCAGCAGUCGCGGUAAUACGUAGGGUGCAAGCAGCGAUCGUCGGUGCACUGCAGGGCUGGCAAGCGUGCGUGCGCCUGACGGUUCAGAAGAAGAUGUGAAAUCCCAGGCUUAACUUUGGAACUGCAUUUUUAACUACCGAGCUAGAGUGUGUCAGGGAGGUGAAUUCCGCGUGUAGCAGUGAAAUGCGUAGAUAUGCGGAGGAACACCGAUGGCGAAGGCAGCCUCCUGGGAUAACACUGACUCUCAUGCGCGAAAGCGUGGGAGCAAACGGAUUAGAUACCCUGGUAGUCCACGCCUAAACGAUGUCAACUAGCUGUUAGGGCCUUCCGGGCCUUGGUAGCGCAGCUAACGCGUGAAGUUGACCGCCUGGGGAGAAUACGGUCUGCGAAGUCAAAACUCAAAGGAAUUGACGGGGACCCGCACAAGCGGUGGAUGAUGUGGAUUAAUUCAAUGCAACGCGAAAAGCCCUGCCCUUGACAUGUCUGGAAUCCCGAGGUGGGCAGGGUGCUCGCAAGAGAACCGGAACAGAUUGCUGCAUGGCUGUCGUCAGCUCAUGUCGUGGAUGUUGGGUUAAGUCCCGCAACGAGCGCAGCCCGCUGUCAUUGGUUGCUACGAAGGGCACUCUAAUGAGACUGUCGGUGACAAACCGGAGGAAGGUGGGGAUGACGUCAAGUCCUCAUGGCCCUUAUGGGUAGGGCUUCACGUCAUACAAUGGUCGGGACAGAGGGUCGCCAACCCGCGAGGGGAGCCAAUCCCAGGAAACCCGAUCGUAGUCCGGAUCGCAGUCUGCGCUCGACUGCGUGAAGUCGGAAUCGCUAGUAAUCGCGGAUCGGGACAUCGUGUCGCGGUGAAUACGUUCCCGGGUCUUGUACACACCGCCCGUCACACCAUGGGAGUGGGUUUUACCAGAAGUAGUUAGCUAACCGUAAGGAGGGCGAUUACCACGGUAGGAUUCAUGACUGGGGUGAAGUCGUAACAAGGUAA
rnacentral:rRNA from 1 species